CACGUAGGGGCGAGCGUUGUCCGGAAUUAUUGGGCGUAAAGAGCUUGUAGGCGGUUUGUCGCGUCUGCUGUGAAAAUCCGGGGCUCAACCCCGGACUUGCAGUGGGUACGGGCAGACUAGAGUGUGGUAGGGGAGACUGGAAUUCCUGGUGUAGCGGUGAAAUGCGCAGAUAUCAGGAGGAACACCGAUGGCGAAGGCAGGUCUCUGGGCCACUACUGACGCUGAGAAGCGAAAGCAUGGGGAGCGAACAGGAUUAGAUACCCCGGUAGU
rnacentral:rRNA from 1 species